AUGAGAUUAGGUUAUUGGUAAGCUGAAGGAAGACAGCAUCAAUGGGUAAGAAGGUCCGUGUAGGCUCGAGAUGUGUUGAGAGAAAUUGGAUCCAGUGGUUGAGGUUUAUCAUCUUAGAUUUGACUGAUUAAAUCGGAGUAAAAAGAUUUGUUUCUUGUUUGUUGUGAGCAGGUAUGAUUUGACUGAUUAAUUGGGAAUGGCGGUAU
rnacentral:lncRNA from 1 species